rnacentral:snoRNA from 1 species
UGUAGGCAGUGAUAUUGAUAUAAUGCCAAAUAUGCCAGUUCUGCUUCAGAAAUUCUUGACUGAUUAAGCUGUUCAAUCUCUGUGAGCUUCUC